AGAGUUUGAUCCUGGCUCAGGAUGAACGCUGGCGGCGUGCUUAACACAUGCAAGUCGAGCGAAAAUAAUUGAGAGCUUGCUUUUGAUUAUUUUAGCGGCGGACGGGUGAGUAACGUGUGGGCAACUUACCUUUUACUGUGGAAUAAUCGUUGGAAACGACGACUAAUACCGCAUACGGUUCUUGGAAGGCAUCUUCUAAGAAAGAAAGGAGUAAUUCGGUAAAAGAUGGGCCCGCAUCUGAUUAGCUAGUUGGUGAGAUAAUAGCCCACCAAGGCAACGAUCAGUAGCCGACCUGAGAGGGUGACCGGCCACAUUGGGACUGAGACACGGCCCAAACUCCUACGGGAGGCAGCAGUGGGGAAUAUUGCACAAUGGGCGAAAGCCUGAUGCAGCAACGCCGCGUGAAGGAAGACGGUUUUCGGAUUGUAAACUUCUAUCAAUAGGGAAGAAAGAAAUGACGGUACCUAAAUAAGAAGCCCCGGCUAACUACGUG
rnacentral:rRNA from 1 species